ensembl:lncRNA
CGCUAGCGUAUCUAGUCUCUGUAUAUCUAUGGUCGGCACGUCUGGUAGCGUCUCUGGCUGCUGUUGAUCUUGUUUUUGGAGUAAAACACGGUGGAAGCUGAAUUAGUGAGGAUGACUCCUGCUUCUGUCAUCUCUAAGCUCCUCACACAUCUUUACCUGCACAUGAGGAAAAUCACUCCUGUAGAAUGCAGAUGUUCAGAGGGAGAUGAUGCCACAUCUGGUCCAGCUGAUGGAAGGUCUUGAAGUUCUCUGACUGGCCUCGACUGAAGAUGGUCAUCUCACUGGAUUUAAGAUGCACAAUGAGGGACGUCUGCAGAGACUGAGAAAGAGUCUCACCACAUCCUGACAUGAGGAAAAAGACUUUAUUGAAGACUACAAUGAGAAAAACUAUCAGACAGCAGACGGCUGCAUUCAAGGUGAGCUCUGAACAUUUGAUCUGGAACAGGAAUUCAAUAACGGCAGCAUGAGCUUCAUUUCAGUCUGUAGCUGCUGAAUUCAUGGAUGAAUCAUCUGGCACUAGAGAAGAAGACCAUCAAACAUCCACAUCAGCUGAUGGAGGCCCAAGAGUCUCACCAAACAACCUACAGAGUGAAGACCUCAAAUCUGAUUGGAUGGCCUCCUAUUCAGCCACAU